AUCAUUGUACUCUUAGACUUUUAUUGUAAUCUUUCUAGAUUAUUAGAUUAAGUCCUUAUAAAAGGCAAAACCACCUUGGUCGGAUGGACUGGAGUAGCUUUGAUUUUCAAGUGAACCAGGAUAAACUUCUGUGUUGUUUGUUAUUCUCUUUGUGUGUGUAGCUUUACUAAAAGUUUUUAUCGUCAGUGAAAACAAUUAAAC
rnacentral:lncRNA from 1 species